GUCACGCCCACGCCCUCUCUGCCUUGUGUCGAGUGAAGCAAAUGUCCACCGUAGCAGACAACUCCAACUCACCCUUCUUUAGGGCCGGGGGGGUUGAUCAUCUAUUAUCGAGUGAAUGACCUGAAAGCAGAAUGAUUUUUCUCACCAUCUUCUGCUAAGUGAGGUUGGACGCCGCACGACCUUUGAAAAGAAAACAGAUAAAAAUAAAUAUGACUUAACGUGAAGAGGGUGCAGCGUAGAGGGGUGCUUUCUUUAGAUCAAUGUCUUGGAGCUGUCAAGGAUGGAUGAAGUCGCCUUUCACUUAAACCAAAGACUGGAAUCUUUUCAGGUCCAGUUGUUAUCAGUGAUUCAGCAUGGAAACAUGGCCAUACAUAGCCGAAUGCAGGAAUUGCAUAAUUUGGCUUUAGCUGCAAUUGAAAGUAAUCAAGCAACAGCAGUGAGGCAAACGUUUCGCACAAUAUGGGAAAAGCUUGUCUACCUCAUUCAGGAGGCCAAAGCCUCCUUCCCCCGAGCAGUAAACCCUGUCGUAUUAUACGAUGAGUUUAUGCUUAUGCUGGGAAACGAAUUGAAUCGAAGAAAUUUUUACACUGGCUGUGUCGGUUUUGCCUUGGGAGGCAUGAUUGGUGUAGUGGUUGGCAUGUCCCUUCAUUCACCACCCUCACCCAGCCAAAGAAUUAGAGCAGUUGUGUGCAUGGACUACCGAGGAUUAGAUGCAGUUUCAACAAGUGAUGAUGUUCCUAUGCCCAUUCUGACAUCACCGGAUCAAAUGCUAAUUGAAGUUCGUGCUGCCUCCUUAGACUUUUUAGACAUAAAAAUAUCUUCUGGCUAUGGCCGAGUAUUGAGGCGGCAGCUUCAUAAGUACUCUGCUAGUACUCCUAAGGAACUACCUGUUGUACUGGGACGAGAUUGUUCUGGUGUAGUUGUUGAUAUUGGGCAUGAUGUAAAAAACUUUGAAAUUGGAGAUGAGGUUUGGCUAGCUGUCCCGUACUGGGCAUCUGGAACUUUAGCUCAGUAUGUGGUUGCAAAAGAACGUCAGGUGGCGCGGAAACCAAGAGGAAUUGGAUUUGAGGGAGCUGCUGCCUUGCCAUACUCAGGUUCAAUUGCCUGGGAUGCAAUGGUGAACCAAGCAAAACUGAAUAGCAAGAACACUCGUGGGAAGAGGAUACUUGUUCAUUGUGGGAGUAGCCCUGUGGGCUGCGUGGUUACCCAGUUGGCUAGACUCUGGGGCGCACAUGUCACUGUGACAUGUCCUGCCCGAGCACUGACAGUCUGCAACGCCCUAGGGGCUGACGACACCAUAGUAUUUGAAGAGGGACCUGUAGAUAAACAGCUUGCCUCACGAGAAAGGUUCAAUGUAGUAUUUAAUACUUUGGGAGCAGUUGUCCAUGACUCAUGUUUGAGAUUUUGUGAUGAUGAUGGUAUUGUUGUCACAACGGUGGCAACCAAAAUAGCAUCUGACUCCUAUGGUUUCAUUCUUGGAACUUUGUAUGCGAUCUGGGUCAAGAUACAGUGCUUAGUCAUGAAGGAAAAAGUGGCAUGGGGUGCUGUUCACUUAAAUAGUGACACUUUGAAUGAGUUAGCAAAACUAGUUGACAAUGGACAGCUGCAGCCUGUUGUUGACAAAAUAUUUUCUCCUAGAGAUGUAGAAUUGGCAUUUCAGCAUACCGACUCUGCACAAGCCAUUGGAAAGACUGUCAUUCGUUUCAGCUCUCGCUUCAGAUGACCAGGACUCUGGGGUAGGAUCGGUGGGACUCCAUACAGAUCUGCCCCAACCCCUUUCUCUUAAAGCAGUUGUUUCAUGUUGUUAUAUGGCUUUGGAUUCAAUGAGGAUGACAGCCAGUCCAUGCGGUCUCGAUCUUCAGCCAGAUCGUCAAAGCCUGACAUUUUGACAUGAUGGUGUCGGUUCAGAGAUAGAUUGGGACCUCCAACAUAUCUCUCCUACAAGUCACUCAAUGGCUAAUGACCAUUCAGUUUUAUGCAUAAUUAAAUAGCAGGUUUGAAGAGCUCAUGAAAUGUUUUGUUCAUAUUAGAUGAUAAUACCUGUACAGUAAGAGAUGUCUCAUCAGCACUAGUGAUAAUAGAAAGGUGCAUACGGGUAUUCUAUACCAUAGGAUAUGAGAAAGUUAGUAGAGGUGCGAAUCUACCCAUGGCUAAAAGCCUACCAUGAAAUUUGUGUCCCUAGAUGUCUAGUGAAAACCUGAAUGUUGUCCAGUAUUCUAUAUUCAACACCACCUAUACCUGUGUACUAGGAUGUAAUCUGCUUUCCUGGAGAGGACUUUGUUUCUGCAAAAUGCUUACCCUUCCGUUUGAUUUAUCAUAUCUUGAGAUAAGUUUUACUAGCUACUAAGUAUUGCUUACCAGGCAAAUGAAUCAUCACUGCUAUUAAUUUUAAUAUCAUUGUACAUAAAAUUAUUUUUUGAAGGAACAAAGCCAUGUAGCUAGUGAAGUGCAUUUUGUAUAUAAAGUUAAAAUUGUUA